GGUCGAUUCGUCUAGGGGUUAGGACGCAUCCCUUUCACGGAUGAAACACGGGUUCGAUUCCCGUAUCGACUA
rfam:Indibacter alkaliphilus LW1 Indibacter_contig_20, whole genome shotgun sequence.